rnacentral:rRNA from 1 species
AACGAACGCUGGCGGCGUGCCUAACACAUGCAAGUCGAACGCCCGUAGCAAUACGGGAGUGGCGGACGGGUGAGUAACGCGUGGGAACGUGCCCUGAGGUACGGAAUAACUGCGGGAAACUGCAGCUAAUACCGUAUGAGCCCCUUACGGGGGAAAGAUUUAUCGCCUUAGGAGCGGCCCGCGUCGGAUUAGCUAGUUGGUGGGGUAACGUCUUAACAAGGCUUCGAUCCGUAGCUGGUCUGAGAGGACGAUCAGCCACACUGGGACUGAGACACGGCCCAGACUCCUACGGGAGGCAGCAGUGGGGAAUCUUGCGCAAUGGGGGCAACCCGGACGCAGCCAUGCCGCGUGAAUGAUGAAGGCCUUAGGGUUGUAAAGUUCUUUUGCCCGUGACGAUGAUGACGGUAACGGGAGAAUAAGCUCCGGCUAACUUCGUGCCAGCCGCCGCCGUAACAC